rnacentral:misc_RNA from 1 species
ACCUUCGAACGAAUGGUUUGCUCGAGGGAAAUUGGAACGAUGGGCACAGUUUUGCAGACUAACGCCAUUUCGAAAAAGUACAUAACGAUCGCUUGCUGUGCAUGGGCCAGCCACUUUAUGUCUUUGUGGGGCGGGUUUUUCUUCGACGAUUCGGAAGCUAUCGUCCACAACCAAGACAUUCAGUCUCGUAGACCGUGGCAGUCUGCUUUUGCUAACGACUUUUGGGGCACCAGCAUCACCCAUCCCAGCAGCCACAAGAGCUACCGGCCACUAACCGUCUUAUCUUACCGGCUGAACGUGUUUUUUUCGGGUGGACGAUUGGACGCGUUCCAAUUCCACACAGUCAACGUGGUACUGCACGGCAUUCUCUCCCUAAUGGCCCUUCCACUCUUCGAGUGUUUGCUAAAGCGGAAAAAACCCAGAAAAACGCUCCAUAUUUUGGACGAUCCCGCCUUCACUGGAGCCCUACUCUUUGCCAGUCAUCCUGUACACACUGAGGCUGUUGCAAGCCUAGUGGGUCGAGCCGACCUUUUGGCAGCCAUUCUGUUCUUUGGCCUGAUUAUACUCUACAAGAACGUAUCCGGACUUCUCGGUUGGUUUGUGUCUGUGUCGCUGAUCUCAGGCACGGCCGUUCUGUGCAAAGAAACCGCCAUCACUGUGCUGGGCGUAUGCAUCAUCUACGAGGUGUAUCUGCGGAAAAAACCGUCCAAGUUCUGGAGCGAAACGUUCGAAAAGACAUUUCUCAUGCGAGUUGGCCUGCUGGUAUUGAUCGGUUUCAUCAUCAUGAUCCUGCGGCUGAAAGUGAUGAACUUUGAAGGGCCCACUUUCAGCCCCACGGAUAAUCCCGCAUCGUUCCACGAAAGGUUGACCGUCCGGGUUUUGUCCUACAACUACAUUUACUGCCUAAAUGCGCUGCUGUUGGUGUGGCCCCAGUGGCUGUGCUUCGAUUGGUCGAUGGGAUGCGUCCCACUGAUCCAGCAACGUUCGGAUCUGCGUAUUUUUGCAGUUUUAGCUUUUUGGCUCAUUGUAAUUGCAGUCAGUUACCGAUUGGUUAAAGACCUGAUUACUAAAGAUAAAGUGGAUGUGUACGUGAUGGCCUUAAGCUUGAUGUUGAUUCCGUUCCUGCCAUCCAGCAACCUUCUGCUUCGCGUGGGUUUUGUAAUAGCCGAGCGAACUUUACUGGUGCCCAGCACUGGAUAUUGCCUAUUGGUGGCUGUUGGUCUCGAGAAGCUAAAAAGUCGAUUUGGCUCCGUAAAAAAUCUUUUCACUGCCAUGUACAUUCUGCUGCUGGUCACUUUUGUCGCGCGAAGCAUUCAGAGAAACUACGAAUGGAUCAACGAGGUGCGUCUAUUCAAAUCGGCGUUGGAAGUGUGCCCGUUGAAUGCGAAAGUGCAUUACAAUAUCGGAAAGGUUUUGUCCAAUCCGACACGCGGAUCGCUUCGUGAUGCCGAAAGGAGUUAUAGACACGCAUUGGAGCUCUAUCCGAGAUAUGAGCAAGCCAUGAACAAUUUGGCCAAUAUCUUGAGGGAAAAAGGCCAGUUGGAAGAGGCCGAGUAUUGGCUGCAGUUGGCUGUGGCGGUGAGACCAAAUUUUGCAGCCGGUUGGAUGAAUCUCGCUAUUGUUCUGGGCAGUCAGGAAGAGCGAUGGGGGGAAGCGGUUAGGGCCUACAAAAACGCUCUUGCGCAUAGAAAAGAAUACCCGGAUGCGCAGUACAACCUGGGAAACCUCUACCUCGACAUGGGAGAUCACCUCGCAGCUUUAGACUGUUGGAAAAAAGCGGCCGCGCUUCGUCCGACGCAUGCGGCCGCUUGGGGCAACAGCAUGGCGUUGCUGGACUCAAAAGGAAUGGCUUCUGCAGCUGUUGAACUGGGCCAAGAAGCUCUUAAACAUGUGCCUAAAUCUGCAGCCGUGCACUUUGCGCUUGGCAACGUUAUGGGAAAACUUAACAGAUGUGAACAUUCCAGUCUCGGAUCUCGUACAGCUUUAAGAAAUGAAUUAUAACUGAUUAGCCGAUGAGUUAUAACUCGUUAACUCAGAGAGCGGCAACAACUCAAUAGCGCAACCCAACACAGUGUUACCCAGGCCUAAAAACCGGUAUUUUUGCGUAAAACAUUUGCAGUUGAAAUUAAUUCGAAAAAAUCUUUAUCGCUUAACGCAAAACCCUGGUGGCUUUCAGGCUUUUGGAAGCGGAGCGUCAUUUUCGAGACGCUAUUAAAUAUGAUAGUAAGAACAGCUUGUAUUACUCGAAUUUAGGCGUUCUGUAUCAUCGUUGGAGAAGGCUGGAGGAUGCUGAAAAAAUGUACCUCAAGGCGUUGCUGCUCGAAACGGAAGCUCAUCCGGCAACUACGGCAAGACAACAAUUGCUGCGGCUGCAAAACCAACGACUCCAGACGAAGAAACUCGUUUAAUUUACCCGAAAAGGGUGCCAUGUAUUUAUUUUUUAUUGAAUAUAAUUUUUUAUAUGUA